CUUUCAUCUGCACCGGUAGCGGCAAUCCCCACCAUGCAGGAUUUAUUUACAUUGCAGGCCGCUCGCAUGUUCGCCCAGACCUGCGCCGCACGAUUGGUUAAUCGACGUCGUAUAUCAUCCGCCAGCACAUUUUCUCAGCUGUUAAAGCAGGACUUUGUCUCUGGCUGUAACAAAAAGAAGUGAGUAACACUGCACGGCAAUAAAGCCAGAGGAAGAAACCUUACACCGAGUCUCUGCUAGAGACAAAUAGUGACUGAUACGGUUUUGAAUCCGAAACCGAGUUUUAUGCAAAGCUUACUAAAACAACAGCCUGUUUUCCUG
ensembl:lncRNA